rnacentral:rRNA from 1 species
GACGAACGCUGGCGGCGUGCUUAACACAUGCAAGUCGAGCGGUAAGGCCCCUUCGGGGGUACACGAGCGGCGAACGGGUGAGUAACACGUGGGUGACCUGCCCUCAGCUCUGGGAUAAGCCUGGGAAACUGGGUCUAAUACCGGAUAUGACUCCAUGACGCAUGUCGUGGGGUGGAAAGCCUUGUGCGGCUGGGGAUGGGCCCGCGGCCUAUCAGCUUGUUGGUGGGGUGAUGGCCUACCAAGGCGACGACGGGUAGCCGGCCUGAGAGGGCGACCGGCCACACUGGGACUGAGACACGGCCCAGACUCCUACGGGAGGCAGCAGUGGGGAAUCUUGCGCAAUGGGCGAAAGCCUGACGCAGCGACGCCGCGUGAGGGAUGACGCCU